CCUACGGGGGGCAGCAGCUAGGGAUCUUGCACAAUGGGCGAAAGCCUGAUGCAGCGACGCCGCGUGGGGGAUGAAGGCUCUAGGGUCGUAAACCCCUUUUGCCAGGGAAGAAGAUCUGACGGUACCUGGCGAAUAAGCCACGGCUAACUACGUGCCAGCAGCCGCGGUAAUACGUAGGUGGCAAGCGUUGUCCGGAUUUACUGGGCGUAAAGCGCGUGUAGGUGGUUUGAAAAGUCCGGGGUGAAAUCUUGCGGCUCAACUGCAAGAGGUCCUUGGAUACUUUCAGACUUGAGGGAGGCAGAGGAAGGUGGAAUUCCCGGUGUAGUGGUGAAAUGCGUAGAUAUCGGGAGGAACACCAGUGGCGAAGGCGGCCUUCUGGGCCUUUCCUGACGCUGAGGCGCGAAAGCGUGGGUAGCAAACCGGAUUAGAUACCCCAGUA
rnacentral:rRNA from 1 species